rnacentral:lncRNA from 1 species
AAUGAUCAGGAGGCUUCUGAAUCAGAGUCUGUCAUACCUGGCUUAACCAAAGAUCAGUACUCACAGCUUAUGCUGUUACUCCAUCAGACACAAAUUUCAGAGUCUCAUCAGCAGUCAAGUCUUAUGGCAUCCGCCAAUUUUGCUAGUAACUUUUCUUCAACCACUCACUUAAAAAAUGUAUCUUAUGGGGCUUGCAUGCUAACUAAAAUAAGUGACUGCAUUUGGAUUAUAGAAUCUGGUGCCACUGAUCACAUGACCUCUAAUAAAGACCUUCUGUUUGACAUUAAACCCUUAGUAAUACCAUAUCUAGUUACCUUACCCAAUGGUUACAAGGUUAAGGUAACUUGCACUGGUUCAAUACAAUUCUUUUCCUUCAUUCUACAUCAUGUCCUUUACAUUCCCAGCUUUCAAUACAAUCUCAUCUCUGUGUCUAAACUUGUGUGCCAGUUAAAUUCUAUUGUCCUAUUUACUAAAUUCUCUUGUUUAAUACAGGCCCCUUCUCUGAAGAGGCCACUGGAGAUUGGUCCUUUCCUCUGUUCUAUAUGCCCUUUAGCCAGUCAAUCUAGACUACCCUUUCCUGAUAGUUCUAUUAAAACAACACAUGUCUUUCAACUAAUCCAUGUUGACACAUGGGGUCCCUAUGCCACUCCCACUCAUAAUGGGUGUAGAUACUUUCUCACAAUUGUUGAUGACUUUACCAGAGCUACUUGGACUCACCUUAUGGGGGUCCAAGAGCAAUGCCGUUCCCCUUAUCAAGGCUUUUAUUGCCAUGAUUAAAACUCAAUUUCAGUCUAUGGUACAGACCAUUAGGAGUGAUAAUGCCUUUGAACUUGGCUCUAGUAGUUGUGGCAGCAAUUUCUUUGCUGAUUGGACUCACCUUAUGGGGUCCAAGAGCAAUGCCUUUCCCCUUAUCAAGGCUUUUAUUGCCAUGAUUAAAACUCAAUUUCAGUCUAUGGUUCAUACCAUUAGGAGUGAUAAUGCCUUUGAACAUGGCUCUAGUAGUUGCGGCAACAAUUUCUUUGCUGAAAAUGGCAUACUGCAUCAAACUUCUUGCUCCCACACACCACAACAAAAUUGUGUAGUUGACAGAAAGCAUAGAUAUCUGCUAGAAACCUCAAGGGCUCCACUUUUUAAUUACAUAUAUCUAUUAGAUUCUGGGAUGACUGUGUGCUCACUGCCGCCUACCUCAUUAACAGAUUUCCCUCCAAAAUUCUUCACAGUAAAUCCUCCCUUGAGUUGUUGUUUGGACAGAUUCCAUCAUAUAGCCAUCUUAAAACUUGACCUACCUCAUCAACAGAUUUCCCUCCAAAAUACUUCACAAUAAAUCCUCCUUUGAGUUGAUGUUUGGACAAGUUCCUUCAUAUAACCAUCUUAAAACUUUUGGUUGCCUCUGUUUUGCCUCUGUCCCUAAGCAGAACAGGGACAAAUUUCAACCCAGAGCAGAUCCAUGUGUUUUUCUGGGAUAUCCAUUAGGUAAAAAGGGUUACAAACUAUACAACUUGAAGUCCAAACUUACUAUGAUCUCCAGGGUUGUCAAUUUCAUGAGGAUGUCUUUCCUUUUGCUUCUCCAGGGCACUCUUCCCAUAGUCCCUUUCCCCCUCCUUCCCCUUCUUCUGCUUAGGUUCCACCUGUUGAUGACUUUCUAUCUACUCCUUUUUCAUCCAUCACCCAGCCUCCUCUUGUCUCCCCUUCCCCUUCCCAAUCACAUAAUCAUUCAGUGCCUGCCUCCUCUGUUCCCAGAAGAUCCACUAGGACACAUGUUCUUUCUGCUCACCUUCAACAGUAUGUCUGCACUCUCCCUCCAUCAAUCUCUGGCCCCAGUUCUUCUUCCACUUGUCUUCACAGUUUAGUUAGCUCUCCAGAGGCUGAGCCUACCUAUUAUAAGCAGGCUGCCUCUGUUCCUGCUUGGCAGGAGGCCAU